AAAGGUAAUUGACGGGGCCCGCACAAGCGGUGGAGCAUGUGGUUUAAUUCGAUGCAACGCGAAGAACCUUACCUGGGCUUGACAUCCCGGGAAUCCCUUGGAAACAAGGGAGUGCCCUUCGGGGAACCUGGAGACAGGGUGCUGCAUGGCUGUCGUCAGCUCGUGUCGUGAGAUGUAGGGUUAAGUCCCGCAACGAGCGCAACCCUUGUCUUUAAUUGCCAUCAUUGAGUUGGGCACUUUAAAGAGACUGCCGGUGACAAACCGGAGGAAGGUGGGGAUGACGUCAAGUCCUCAUGGCCCUUAUAGGUGGGGCUACACACGUCAUACAAUGGAUGGUACAAAGGGUCGCCAACCCGCGAGGGGGAGCCAAUCCCAUAAAGCCAUUCGUAGUCCGGAUCGCAGUCUGCAACUCGACUGCGUGAAGUCGGAAUCGCUAGUAAUCGUGGAUCAGAAUGUCACGGUGAAUACGUUCCCGGGUCUU
rnacentral:rRNA from 1 species